rnacentral:rRNA from 1 species
CAGAGACUGCGAGCGUUAUUCGGAUUCACUGGGCGUAAAGGGUGCGCAGGCGGCCAUGUGUGUGAGGCGUGAAAGCCUGGAGCUUAACUCCAGAAUUGCACCUCAAACUACAUGGCUAGAGCAUUGGAGAGGGUAGCGGAAUUCACGGUGUAGCAGUGAAAUGCGUAGAUAUCGUGAGGAACACCAGAGGCGAAGGCGGCUACCUGGACAAUUGCUGACGCUCAGGCACGAAAGCGUGGGGAGCAAAAGGGAUUAGAUACCCCUGUAGUCCACGCCCUAAACGGUGCACACUAGGUCUUGGCGGAUUCGACCCCACCAGGGCCCAAGCUAACGCGUUAAGUGUGCCGCCUGAGGACUACGGCCGCAAGGCUA